rnacentral:rRNA from 1 species
GAUGAACGCUAGCGGCAGGCUUAAUACAUGCAAGUCGUGGGGCAGCACAGUGUAGCGAUACAUGGGUGGCGACCGGCAAACGGGUGCGGAACACGUACGCAACCUUCCUUUAACUGGAGAAUAGCCCCUCGAAAGAGGGAUUAAUACUCCGUAAUAUCCCGAUGUGGCAUCAUGACGGGAUUAUAGCUCCGGCGGUUAGAGAUGGGCGUGCGCCUGAUUAGGAGUUGGCGGGGUAAUGGCCCACCAAGCCUGCGAUCAGUAACUGGUGUGAGAGCACGACCAGUCACACGGGCACUGGAGACACGGGCCCACUCCUACGGGAGCAGCAGUAAGGAUAUUGGUCAAUGGAC